rnacentral:rRNA from 1 species
GAUGAACGCUAGCGGGAGGCCUAACACAUGCAAGCCGAGCGGUAUUUGUUCUUCGGAACAGAGAGAGCGGCGCACGGGUGCGGAACACGUGUGCAACCUGCCUUUAUCUGGGGGAUAGCCUUUCGAAAGGAAGAUUAAUACCCCAUAAUAUAUUGAGUGGCAUCAUUUGAUAUUGAAAACUCCGGUGGAUAGAGAUGGGCACGCGCAAGAUUAGAUAGUUGGUGAGGUAACGGCUCACCAAGUCAAUGAUCUUUAGGGGGCCUGAGAGGGUGAUCCCCCACACUGGUACUGAGACACGGACCAGACUCCUACGGGAGGCAGCAGUGAGGAAUAUUGGACAAUGGGUUAGCGCCUGAUCCAGCCAUCCCGCGUGAAGGACGACGGCCCUAUGGGUUGAAAACUUCUUUUGUAUAGGGAUAAACCUACUCUCGUGAGAGUAGCUGAAGGUACUAUACGAAUAAGCACCGGCUAACUCCGUG